AGAGUUUGAUUCUGGCUCAGGACGAACGCUGGCGGCGUGCUUAACACAUGCAAGUCGAACGAUGAAGCCUAGCUUGCUAGGUGGAUUAGUGGCGAACGGGUGAGUAAUACGUGAGUAACCUACCUUUAACUCUGGGAUAAGCCUGGGAAACUGGGUCUAAUACCGGAUACGACCAAUCUCCGCAUGGGGUGUUGGUGGAAAGCGUUAUGUAGUGGUUAUAGAUGGGCUCACGGCCUAUCAGCUUGUUGGUGAGGUAACGGCUCACCAAGGCGACGACGGGUAGCCGGCCUGAGAGGGUGACCGGCCACACUGGGACUGAGACACGGCCCAGACUCCUACGGGAGGCAGCAGUGGGGAAUAUUGCACAAUGGGCGGAAGCCUGAUGCAGCGACGCCGCGUGAGGGAUGACGGCCUUCGGGUUGUAAACCUCUGUUAGCAGGGAAGAAGAGAGAUUGACGGUACCUGCAGAGAAAGCGCCGGCUAACUACGUGCCAGCAGCCGCGGUAAUACGUAGGGCGCGAGCGUUGUCCGGAAUUAUUGGGCGUAAAGAGCUUGUAGGCGGUUUGUCGCGUCUGCUGUGAAAGGCCGGGGCUUAACUCCGUGUAUUGCAGUGGGUACGGGCAGACUAGAGUGCAGUAGGGGAGACUGGAAUUCCUGGUGUAGCGGUGGAAUGCGCAGAUAUCAGGAGGAACACCGAUGGCGAAGGCAGGUCUCUGGGCUGUAACUGACGCUGAGAAGCGAAAGCAUGGGGAGCGAACAGGAUUAGAUACCCUGGUAGUCCAUGCCGUAAA
rnacentral:rRNA from 1 species